GGAAAUUCAUUAGUAGGUGGUAUAUUCAAUCAUGAUCCAACUCAAUAAAGGAUAGGAAUAAGACUGUGCAGCAAGUACCCCAGGUGAAAUCUGCAUAUAAGUCUACUAUGUCUGAGAAUAAGUCUGCUUGUAUGAUUAGUGGACACUCUGAAUCUAGUACACUGUAGCAUAGAAUAAUAGGUCAUGCACAUACAGAUGUAAUCAAGAAGUACGCAACUCUAAGCAAUUUGAAGGACUCUCACACAUACUGCAUUGUAUGCCCUUUAGCCUAGCAGACAAAGCUACCUUACAAUCUGAGUACUACUACUUCUAAUAUUGUGUUUCAACUAAUUCAUUGUGAUAUAGG
rnacentral:lncRNA from 1 species